rnacentral:rRNA from 1 species
AUGGCUCGACGCCGGCGACGGAAUUCGCCCUUGGAGACGCCCUCCAGCGCAGCAGGAGACAUUAGGACGGCCAUGCUGCUAUACCAAGCACCCUCUGGCAUCGCGGUUUUCUCGUUCGAUGUGAGCUACCUCAACGGUAUAUCCAAGGCCUUCUGGAAAUCCUUGCCAUCCCUUAGUCUCGAAGUAUUCAUAAAGUCUAAGAUGGUGCCCAGCCCCAUUGACUCUGCUAAUAAGUUUGUUGACAGUCUGCUGGCUGACAGUCUCAUUGAGCUGUGUCUGUGUGGUUCUGAAAAGACAUUAUUCGUGGGAAGUGCUGAACAUAAAAGAAUAAUUGAAGCGACACUGGGAAUAAUCUGUCUGUAUGUUGAUGUUCCGGACUGUGAGAUGAUAGUUUGCCAUCUGAAGGAUCACGUCCGUAAUUUGCUUAGUUUCCCGGAUGAUGCAUCGGCUAUGCUGCUACAUGAAGCACCCUCUGGCAUUGCAAUUUUCUCUUUUGAUGAGAGCUACCUCAACGGUCUAGCCAAGGACUUCUGGACAUGCUUGCCACCGCUUAGUCUGGUAGAAUUCAUGGCAUAUGAGAGGGUGCCCACCCCCAUUGACCUUGAUAAUGAGGCUAUUGACGAUCGCCUGGCUAAGAGGCUCAUGAAGCUGUGUGGUUCUGAGAAGAAAUUAGUUGUGGGAAGUGCUGCGCAUAAAAGGAUAAUUGAAAUGAAAGUGGAAAAAAUAACAUGUCUGUAUGUUGAUAUUCCGGAUUGUGAGGUGAUAAUUUGCAGUCUGAAGAAGCCCAUGGGCACUUUAUUGCCUCAUGAAGAAAAAGCAGACCCUAUGAAAAAUAUAAUAUCGUUCUUACAUCAACAUGACUUUGAUAUCCCGGGUGGGAAGGUUGAGGAAUCUUAUUAUGCACCGGCUCUUCGCUUGCAUGAAGUCUAA